GUUGGACGCAACUGGUGUGCUUGUUACAUGCUGGUCCUACGAAGGGAAGACGUACGUAGUCCAGCUUGAUAUUUGUUAAGGGGAGGCUUAAACUUCAGGGAACUGGGCUAGGCUCUGGGAUAAGCACUGGAAACGGUGUCUAAUACCGGAUACGAGCUUCAGCCGCAUGGCUAGGAGCUGGAAAGAAUUUCGGUCUGGGAUGGACUCGCGGCCUAUCAGCUAGUUGGUGAGGUAAUGGCUCACCAAGGCGACGACGGGUAGCCGGCCUGAGAGGGUGACCGGCCACACUGGGACUGAGACACGGCCCAGACUCCUACGGGAGGCAGCAGUGGGGAAUAUUGCACAAUGGGCGCAAGCCUGAUGCAGCAACGCCGCGUGAGGGACGACGGCCUUCGGGUUGUAAACCUCUU
rnacentral:rRNA from 1 species